rnacentral:rRNA from 1 species
CCUACGGGUGGCAGCAGUGAGGAAUAUUGGUCAAUGGACGAGAGGCUGAACCAGCCAAGUAGCGUGAAGGAUGAAGGCCCUAUGGGUUGUAAACUUCUUUUAUAAAGGAAUAAAACGAGGCACGUGUGCCUUUUUGCAUGUACUCUAUGAAUAAGGAUCGGCUAACUCCGUGCCAGCAGCCGCGGUAAUACGGAGGAUCCGAGCGUUAUCCGGAUUUAUUGGGUUUAAAGGGAGCGUAGAUGGGUUGUUAAGUCAGUUGUGAAAGUUUGCGGCUCAACCGUAAAAUUGCAAUUGAUACUGGCAGUCUGGAGUGCGGUUGAGGUAAGCGGAAUGCGUGGUGUAGCGGUGAAAUGCAUAGAUAUCACGAAGAACCCCGAUUGCGAAGGCAGCUUACUAAGCCGUGACUGACAUUGAUGCUCGAAAGUGUGGGUAUCAAACAGGAUUAGAUACCCCAGUAGUC